GAUGAACGCUGGCGGCGUGCCUAACACAUGCAAGUCGAACGGACUUUUCAUGAAGCCUAGCGAUUGAAAAGUUAGUGGCGGACGGGUGAGUAACGCGUGGGUAACCUGCCUUGUACUGGGGGACAACAGUUGGAAACGACUGCUAAUACCGCAUAAGCGCACAGCUUCGCAUGAAGCAGUGUGAAAAACUCCGGUGGUACAAGAUGGACCCGCGUCUGAUUAGCUGGUUGGUGAGGUAACGGCCCACCAAGGCAACGAUCAGUAGCCGGCCUGAGAGGGUGAACGGCCACAUUGGGACUGAGACACGGCCCAAACUCCUACGGGAGGCAGCAGUGGGGAAUAUUGCACAAUGGGGGAAACCCUGAUGCAGCAACGCCGCGUGAGUGAAGAAGUAUUUCGGUAUGUAAAGCUCUAUCA
rnacentral:rRNA from 1 species